AGGGAAAUAGCUCAGCCGUAGAGCGCAUGCUUAGCAUGCAUGAGGUCCUGGAUUCAAUCCCUAGUACCUCCA
rnacentral:tRNA from 1 species